rnacentral:rRNA from 1 species
AUAUCAGUAAGCGGAGGAAAAGAAACUAACGAGGAUUCCCUCAGUAACGGCGAGUGAACGGGGAAGAGCCCAGCGCUAAAUCCUGUUGCUCUAACGGGUAACGGGAGGUGUAGCGUAUAGUAGGCGAAUUUCCUUGAUGGCUGUCGACUUAAAUUCUCCUUGACUGGGGUUCCAGAGAAGGUGAAAGGCCUGUUCAGUCGAUGGCCGUCUUGGAUUCCGUUCUACUUGGAGUCGGGUUGUUUGGGAACGCAGCCCAAAUUGGGUGGUAAACUUCAUCUAAGGCUAAAUACGGCCACGAAACCGAUAGCAAACAAGUACCGUGAGGGAAAGUUGAAAAGUACUUUGAAGAGAGAGUUCAAGAGGACGUGAAACCGGUAGGAUGGAAACGGAUAGAGCCAACGAACAAGCCCGUAUUCAGCUAGUCGGCUGCGUGCGGCAUGCCUGUGUGCUCGUUCAGGGUGCAUGGGUGUGUGCGGUAUGCGGUCGGCUAGUGCAUUUGCGGGUGAUGUGCGCUGAGGCGUGUGGUGGAGUCCUGCAAACCGUCUGGAGAGGCCUCGCCUUCGGGCUUGAAACCUACAGGCGGGGAGUCGGGUUUCUGCUG